GAGAGAGUUAAGACAAAGUCAGAGACAGAGUUCAGCACACAUCAGUUUGAAGCCGGUAGAGGACAAGGAGAGACAGAAAUAAAGAUAUACAGGGAAGAAGAAAAGAGGGAAAAAGCCACACACCAAAAAGCUUUUGUAACUGUCUCUUGGGAUCCAUCCAGCAAACUGCAGAGACUUCACUUUGUGUCCAAGUUACCACACACAAAAGCAGCGUGACUGGGAGUCUACUGGGAGGACAGACUGGUUUGUACUCAGUGUGAGCAGACUGCCAAACACCAUGGCUGACAACGUGAACGAGGAGUCGGAUUAUAACGCGGGGAAAGAUGAGCUGGACUGGGGCUACGAGGAAGGUGUAGAAUGGGGACUCCAUUUCCCAGCAGCAAACGGAGAGUACCAGUCUCCGAUUAAUUUGAACUCCAGGGAGGCUCAGUACGACCCGACCCUCCUCGACGUUGGCCUGUCACCGAACUACGUGGUGUGUCGAGACUGUGAGGUCAUCAACGAUGGACACACUGUUCGCAUCAUUCUCAAGUCCAAGUCGGUGGUUACUGGGGGGCCAUUGCCAAGUGAUCAUGAGUAUGAGCUCAAUGAGGUUCGAUUCCACUGGGGCAAAGAGAACCAAAGAGGAUCAGAGCACACUGUGAACUUCAAGGCUUUCCCCAUGGAGCUCCAUCUGAUUCACUGGAACAGCACUCUGUUCAACACUUUGGAGGAUGCUCUUGGGAUGAAGAAUGGAGUCCUUGUCAUAUCUCUUUUUGUGCAGAUUGGUAAGGAGCAUCUGGGUCUGAAGGCCAUCACUGAAGUUCUUCAGGACCUGCAGUACAAGGGGAAAAACAAGAUCAUCCCCUGCUUCAACCCCAACACUCUGUUACCUGACCCCUUACUGAGAGACUAUUGGGUGUAUGAAGGCUCUCUGACCACACCACCUUGUAGUGAAAAUGUGACCUGGAUCCUCUAUCGCUACCCUCUGACCAUCUCACAGUUACAGAUUGAGGAGUUUCGGAGGCUGCGGUCCCAUACUAAAGGGGCAGAACUGCUAGAAGGAAAUGAUGGGUUGUUGGGGGACAACUUCCGUCCCACACAGCCGCUCAGUGACCGGACAGUUCGCGCCGCCUUCCAGUAAUCUUCCCUUUCCACGGAUGAUUCAGAAAAACGAUGGGACCUAACGGUACAAGUAUGAAAGAAGAGAAGAACAAGGAGUCGAGAAGAGCGGGGAGGAAAUAUGAAAGGAGAAACAGAGAGAUAAAGCUGCAGACUGAAGGGACAAAGAAACUAUUGAUCUUGCACCAACGUGUGCUUUUGUGUUUGUGCGUGUGUGUGUUUGUCUGCAUGAAUGUAGGUGUAUUACUUUUCUUUUUUACCCCUGUCUCUCUUUCUAAUAUUUCCUGCAGUCAUGUGAAUGUGAAAUCCACCUUGUGGUUGAGCGAGUAUUGGGGGUGUGUGACAAGUAUUACUGUAAUGUGUGUGCGUGCGUGUGUGUGCGUGUGUGCGUGUGUGUGUGUGUGUGUGUGCGUGCGUGUGCGUGUGCGUGUGCGUGUGUGUGUGCGUGUGUGUGUGUGGUGUGUGUGUGUCUGUGUGUGUGUGUGUGUGUGUGUGUGUGUGUGUGUGUGUGUGUGUGUGUGUGUGUGUGUGUGUGUUUUGUGUGUCCAGAUUAGAUGAUAGCAGACGUAACAAUCACCCUGUCUCUGCUGUCAUAACACGAGGAAACAUGAAACCACUGACGCACCUGUACACACACAUGCAGACACACACACACACAUACAAACGUACAGAUUCAAACUGCGCUGUGACCAAGAUUCUGAAACACACUGAAAAGCUCUACACAUCAAAGCAAACACACACACACACACACACACACACACACACAAGCUGCAUGUGUUUAUGUGCUGCAUCCAAUAUGUAGAAACACCUGAAGCAGGUCAUUAUGUGUUACAAACUAAACAUGCUGCUGCAGAUCUGCUCAAAAAGUGAAUGGAAAAACCUCCAUAUUAAAAAAACUGAACAUGAAUACAUUUCUAUGAUGACGUCACAGCUGAAGGUAGACUGGCCACCAUUAUAGCGGUUGCUCCUUAAUGGUCAGUCGUCAUAAAUCCAUAUGUAAACAUGUAAACAAAUUUAACAAAUGCAAUACUUUUUAAUGAAUUCUUCAUUCUAUAAUCUGUUGUUGUUGUUGUUUUGGAGUUGGAAACAGAAAUAAAGCCCAAAGCCUCUGCUCCUGGAAAUCUA